AAUUUAUUAACAAAAUGAUAAAAUAAAUAAAUACAAAUUGAUCAAAUGCUCCUAAUAUCAAUUUCUUCCCAUGUUCCCUACAGUAUUGUCAAAACACUGCAUACAAAGGACUCAUCACAGGCUCAAUACAGGAGAGUUACCGAGAUGUGACUUCUGGUGUAGCUUCCUCUUCCAGCCCUUUGUCAAAGAUCUUGAGAGGCUUUGCCAUGCGCUCUACCACUGAUUAGCCUGAGAUGACAUGGAGACGGGACACUUCUACAGCUAACUGGGAAAUGCAGACAAGAUGUAGACUGGAGGAGAGAAAUUAGAGGGGUUUCUAUAGGCAGUCCUGAUUUAGUCUAACCCACACCAACAACAGGAUUCUAAACCUCUGCCUUGCCACUGGCGAAUACUGAUGCGUUGAUUUCUUUUGUCAUGUUUGGAAAGAGAAGCUUUUGGUAUUGCCGGUCCACUCUGGCUGGAGGUGCACAGGGUGUGGGCUUAGUCAUGCAGUCAUUGGACACUUCUGCCCUGCCUUUCUCCUCUCGAGGAGAAGACAACUAAGACAACCUAUGAAACAAACCCCAUGUUGGAGGCACACACUGGUCUGAUCUGAUAAAUCAUCCAUCAUCUUUAUCACCAUCAUAAUUAUAAUAAUAAUUAUUAUUAAUAUUAUUAAACUACUAUUUUUGUUUUUUUAAUAAUCUAAUAAUUGGCAUGACACUCUUUUGUAAAUCACCCUUUUCACCCACAAGUUUGGGCUCUAUUAGUCUACAAGAACCAAGACUAGUUUGCCUGGGAUGUAGAAGUACUGUUGACACAGUUUUACCAAUAAAAAAAAGAAAGUAAA